GCUCUGGUGGUGUAGCUCGGCCUAAUCAUUUAGAGACCAAUCAUACGGGACUGUCACUCCCGUGACCCGGGUUCAAAUCCCGGCCAGAGCG
rnacentral:tRNA from 1 species